UUCAGUUUAGACUUUCCGCCCGCUUACCAGAACUGGGAAGUAAUUGAUCCUAUGGAUCUUUUCCGCGCACCAGUAUUCAAAUCCGAAUCAAACCCAAAGGCUCAUAUUCGUCGUCAUUUGUCUCAAGAAGCGCGAGGUUGUGCCUCUCUUGUACUGUGGUUAGACUGUGAUAGAGAAGGUGAAAAUAUCUGUUAUGAAGUUAUUGAAUGUACUGGGUUCCCUGCAUCUGAAUCGGGAAGAAGAAUUUAUCGUGCUCGAUUUCAU